GCGCCCUUAGCUCAGCUGGAUAGAGCGUCUGACUACGAAUCAGAAGGUCGCAGGUUCGAAUCCUGCAGGGCGCACCA
rnacentral:tRNA from 2 species